AUUUUUUAUGUAAUUUGAGAAAAAAGAAUUACGCAUUGCUAUAUUUGCCUGAUGCUCGUCUGUAACGACUUUAAAUUUCAUUACAAAUAACUUACCUUUUCUUUUUCCCAUUAUAACAAUAUUUCCAUUCUUCAAAUGUGUAUAUUUUUUUAUCGAAAUAUUGUCGUAGUUCCUUGUCAAGAGCUACACGCGCCGAAAAAAGAUUGAAAUUCAGUUCUGGUACAUGAAAAACAUUACUGAGAUACUUUCGCAUCCACUCUUUUCCAUU